rnacentral:lncRNA from 1 species
AAAACUAGCGGAAUUAUAUAAGCUUUAUUCAUCUGUAUAUCGAUGGAGUACGUUACAUAUAGUCGAUAGUUUUUAACCCAGUUGCCCUAUUAUUGCUUCAGCAAUACCAGCAACAAUUCUGACACCUGAAUUAAAGUCAGUAAUAGGAGAUGACCCUCCGAAUUUAUCCUCACAUAAUCUUCCAACGGAGUCAGGAAUGUAAUGCAUCAAUUUCCCUGCAUCCUGAUGUUUGCUCGUAUAAAUUACAUGCUUGGCAGCAGGGACCAAACUGCCCACGAGCAUUGCGUAUUCUGUUUUGCAAUCCUGUAACGAUUGUGUCACGCCCCAAUUUUUGAAAGGAAAUUUUCAAAAAUUUUGGCAUGAUAUCCCUUAAAAUAAUAUAAUCCCAAAACCUGUUUCAACAAAAAUCAAGGAAAAUAAACUCAAUGCGUAAUGUAAAUUUACACACAACAGCAAAUUGAGUUAAAUUACAAUUCCUUGUUUACAUAACUUGAGAACAAGAAAAAGAAACUCUCACAUGAGUUUAAUAAAUCCUAUCCCAGUGUAUAUAAAAAGAAUAUACAAUGAACAUCCAAAACCCGACAAAAAACAUUGCCACUAAGCCUCCACCUCAACCCUGUUGAUCCUCACCUGCAGGUCUAACCCCUACACCAAGAAUGGUGCACCAGGUUGUAAACAACAAACCCGGUAAGCUAAAAAGCUCGUAUGAGUAAACUCAAAAACAACACAACAUUUAAUCACAUCCAAUAUUCACAAGAGAGAUUGGAUCAAUAAUUAAAAACCACACAUCUAACACAUUACCCAAGAAAUGUACUCAUGAGUCCCAGAUAUUUAAAUAAAUACCCCUCAUGACCUACAACAACACUAUGUGUAUCCAUGGGUCCCAGAUACCAUACAGUAUCUCCCAUGACCUACACUGACAGACGGACUAGAGCUCUAUUCCUAACCGCAACCAAUCACCCGGCCAAAGGCUUGGAACCCGAUUUGACUGUCUAAUAUCAAACAAAAAAAUGAUAAAUAGUAUCUUAACCGCAACCAAUCACCCAAAAAGGGCUUAGAACCCGGUUUGGCUAUUUAUCCAACAAUCAUAAUAAAUUCCACAACAUUAUCCUCAACAACACAAUAUCACAAUUAUUAUUCUCAACAACAUAAUAUAAAGAAGACUUGUUUUUAUCUUACCUAUGAGCGGUUGGUGAUCAAGCUCAUAUAUUUUUAAAAACAAUUAAAAGUAUAAUAUUGAAACCAACAUCAUCAUCAUUAUCAUUAUAUAACCAUAAUAACAUUAGGUUCGAAAGUGAACCUUGGUGAGAUUUACUCACCUAAAUAUCUCGCUGCAAUUUCCACAACCAAAUAUAGCAAGCGAAACACAACUUCACAAAUCACCUAAAAAAUAGCACAAAUAAAAUCUUAGUAACUAAAACACUAAAGGUUAUCACACUACCCUUAACUAACCCUUAGUUAACGAGAUGACAACUUUCCAAAGUCGUCCAACUUAGAGACCCACAAAGGCUGCCUCUAAUCCUCAAAUCUUACCCCAAACCUCAACCAAGCCUACACAAAUAAACUUAAGUCCUAACAUGCCAACCUUGCCUAAAAUCUAGCCAUACUACCACUCAACAAGCUCACAGCAACAAAGACUAGCUAACCACAGGAAGCUAAGGCCGCAACUCAGCCGGACGUGCCGCCACAAGCGGCGGCGAGUGGGCCCCACGCGCCACCCCAAACUUCCGAAUUAGGAGAAACUCCCAACAGCAAAGUUGAAGCUUGAAGCAAGGGGAACAACUUUCAUACCUGAGACUUCGACCAAUUUUGGCCGGAACCGGCCGGAAACCGCCCCGAACAGUGACCAGAAAAUCAAAGACAAAAUCUGCAAAACCGGCCUCAAAACCUUAAAAACUUGCUUCAGUCCAUGCCUAAACACUACCAGGGGAAGGAGAGGAUCAAGACUCACCUAAGGAUGUACCUCGUCGCCGCCGUACACGGCAGCUCCGACCGUGGUGCAGCAGCCCUCUUUCCGGCAACACAGCUCCGAUUCCGGCGCGCCACACCGAGCAGCAGCUGCCCAGCCUUGAAGAGCACACUUGUGGGAGUCGAACGGGACCGGUGGCGGUCCAAACGGUGGCCGGACGGCGGAGCUAGCUCCGGCAGAAUUUUGGUCCUCAGGGGAGCUCGGGAGAGGAAGAGAGGGAAGGAAAAGAGAGAGAGAAAAAAGUGAGGUGAGUGAGGAGAGAGAGAGAGAGAGAGAGAGAGAGAGAGAGAGAGAGAGAGAGAGAGAGAGAGAGAGAGAGAGAGAGAGAGAGAGAGAGAGAGAGAG